UUAGUUGGCGAGGUAACGGCCCACCAAGACGAUGAUCAGUAGCCGGACUGAGAGGUUGAACGGCCACAUUGGGACUGAGAUACGGCCCAGACUCCUACGGGAGGCAGCAGUAGGGAAUUUUCGGCAAUGGGCGAAAGCCUGACCCAGCAACGCCGCGUGAAGGAAGAAGGCUUUCGGGUUGUAAACUUCUUUUGUCAGGGAACAGUAGAAGAGGGUACCUGACGAAUAAGCCACGGCUAACUAC
rnacentral:rRNA from 1 species